rnacentral:rRNA from 1 species
AUUGCACGCUAGCGGGAUGCUUUACAAAUGCAAGUCGAACGAGUGGCGGACGGGUGAGUAAUCUAUGGGAACAUUCCAAGUAGCGGGGGAUAACUACUCGACAGAGUGACUAAUCCCGCCUACUAUUGGCUGUGCCGUUAUCUGAGUCGCUAGGUGGUGGGGUAAAGGCUCACCAAGGCAACGAUCCGUAGCUGGUUUGAGAGGACGACCAGCCACACUGGAACUGAGACACGGCCCAGACUCCUACGGGAGGCAGCAGUGGUGAAUUGUGGACAAUGGGGGAAACCCGUAUGCAGCCAUCCCGCGUGUAUGAGAAGGCCUUCGGGUUGUAAAGUACGUUUGGCAGAGAGGCGUUAUCGGCAGAAGAAGCACCGGCUAAAUACGUGCCAGCAGCCGCGGUAAUAC